CCCACAGCCAAGCUCCUCUACAGUGCGGGAGGUAGAUUUGCUGUCUUGCAGACGUAUGAAAAUGACGCAAGGGAGUUUUUCCUGGAUUGGAGGAGUAUGAGGAUUAGUGUUGCGGUGUGCUUUAUUUGGCCCCUACACAAAGGGCCAGAGAGGACCACAGAGACAUCCAAACUGUGGGUAUAACUAUCUGGCACAGAGCCACCAGAGCAGUAAGGAUCUCUGGCUCCCAAGGAAGUACUGUGACCCCUCAUUCAACAGCCAGUCAGCUGGAGCCAUCACCCAGAACUGUCAGUACAAUACUGAUGGGCAUCGAUGUGAGCGCUACAAAGUGGGUAACUACGGCAAUGCUGCCCAGAGGACCUGUCGUGGGUGUCUUAUCCCUGAAGCUCUAUCUCUUAAUGCAUAUAGAAGAUCUCCUUCGUCACCUGAGGGAGGCGAAAUCUAGUAUACCCACCAUAAAUGUGGCAGUGGAGGAGGUGGCCAGGAUGAUGAAGGAGGUGCAGCGCAUGGUGCAGGAGAUGAGAGAACUUGGCUGCAGUAACCAGACAAGGAGGCUGCCAGGGAGCAAGAGGAGGCUCAAAAAUGUGAGAUCUGGGCUUUUUGGAUUAGACUAAAGUCACUUACAGUACAGGGCAGCACUUUAUUUAGCAUUAUUUUGAAUGAGACAUUCCAUACAUCAAUGUGACACAAGUUCUUGAUAGAUAUGACUCAAGGUGCAAAGGGUAAUACAUGUGUCCCUCUCAGUAUUGGACUUCAUCAGGAACAAUAUGACAACUCCAUUGGAUGACAACCUGGCUGUAGCCAAUGAGGCGGCAGAGUCCCUGAUGACGUGGGGCUCUGCGUUGAUGAAUCUGGCAGAGGCUGUGGUACAAGCAGAGGAUAUGGUAAACAGGACAUGGAGCCUCAACUCCAGCAGUACUGACUUCCUAAGAGACCUGACGGUAAUGUCAAAUACUGAAGAAUAACAUAUAUGAAAUGUUGUAGAUACAACACAAAAAAAUGUCCCUCCUAUUUCCAAAUAAUCUACUAGCAAUUAAAAGAUGAGCUGGAGAGGAAACGUGAUUCAAUCCAAUCAAUAUGACGAAAGAUAAACUGAGGAAUAUCACAAACCUUUUGUAAAUGAUGAAGGAGCAAAACAAGGUAUGAAGCAGAUGAGGCAUUAAAAAUUUAAUUUAAAUCUUUCAGGAAUACGAGCACCUUGCAGCCGAGGUAGAUCAAAUAAAAUGUAUUUAUAAAGCCCUUCUUACAUCAUCACAGUGAUGUACAGAAACUCAGCCUAAAACCCCAA